GAGUUUGAUCCUGGCUCAGGAUGAANGCUGGCGGUCUGCUUAACACAUGCAAGUCGAACGGAGUGCUUCGGCACUUAGUGGCGGACGGGUGAGUAACGCGUGAGAAUCUGNCCUUAGGACGGGGACAACAGCUGGAAACGGCUGCUAAUACCCGAUGUGCCGAGAGGUGAAACAUUUUAUGGCCUGAGGAUGAGCUCGCGUCUGAUUAGCUAGUUGGUGGGGUAAGAGCCUACCAAGGCGACGAUCAGUAGCUGGUCUGAGAGGAUGAUCAGCCACACUGGGACUGAGACACGGCCCAGACUCCUACGGGAGGCAGCAGUGGGGAAUUUUCCGCAAUGGGCGCAAGCCUGACGGAGCAAGACCGCGUGCGGGAGGACGGCCUAUUGGUUGUAAACCGCUUUUGAUAGGGAAGAAGCACUGGACGGUACCUAUCGAAUCA
rnacentral:rRNA from 1 species